ensembl:lncRNA
AAAUGUUAAAGUAUUGUAUAAAAGAAUCGCACGUGUUGUUUAAACUAGAAGACAAGUUUUUCGCUAGAUGUCUUCCAAUCGCUGGAUAAAGCAGGAAUGAGGUUAAAAAACAAUUCAGCUCUCUCUCUCAGUACACUCCCCAUCCACACGUGUUUCAACGGCAGACAGUUUCUGUAGAUCGCGUAAAUUUAUGACUCUAUCGGACUGUUCUGUAUGUGAACCUAACUCAUGACUCUUUGUGUUUUCCUGACCGACAGUUCUGUAGGUACACUUAAUUUAUGACCAAGGGUGGGUGUAAUCCUAUCACUUUGUUUAUGUUAAUGAGUCAGUGUCUGGGGUGUUAAUGGCUUUUUAUUUUGAGGAAUAGGAGAUGCCUGUCUAUCGUACCAGUCUCUAGCACUGCAGGUGAUGCUGACGCUGUGUCUGUUCUGGACAUCGUUGAGGAAAUAAAAUUUCUGCACAAGGCAAGCGGUACAUACAUGUGUUAUUAUUUAUAAGUGUUCAUGCCUGUAAAAUUGUGUGGUGGGUGCUAGCGACCGGAGACAUGCUCAGGUACAUGCUCCGACUGAUGAUUGUAGAGACACAGACUUAGUGACACCUACAACACCGGAACUUAAGAGGUCAAGUUGUUCCCCCGGGCCGGCAGACGAGUCAGCUGUGAAUGAACGAGCUCCCUCUGAAUAGUUCGAUAUAGAGUCCGUUUUGAGCUGGGAUCACGAGUUGUUUGAAUCGUGGGACGCUUGUGCAUUUUCCCAGGCUCAUGGAGAAACACGUGCCAGUGAAUGUCUGACUGCGGAAGACAACGACUCUGAGACUCUACCUUCAGACCAAGAAUUUUACAGUCGUGAGUCACCGGUUGUUAAAGACAACAGAGCCUUAUUUGAGCUAAUAUAAACCGGUUUCAAGACAAUCAAGGGGCAUAUUGCGGACCUUGAAAAGCGUUUUGCUGUCAUCAAGGAGCGUCAGGACGGCAUUGAGAAGAAGCAGAGUGUUUAUAAUCAAUCUGUGAUGGAAACUUUACAACGACACACCAUCUCGCAUAAACAUAUUAUAGCUACACAGAGACUCCAUGCUGGAGAGAAUCGCCACGUUGGUCAUAACCAAAACCUGAAGAUGGAUUUGUUAAAGCAGGUUGUACACAUACUUAAAAAAAACAAACUCAGGUGAGUUGUACAAUACGUUUUCAUACAUCUGUGUGUUUGCUUGUAUUAAUUGUUGAUUCGAUACUGUUUACUGUUUGUGUUAUUUUUUACUAGUUUUUUUAUAACCAUAGUUGUUUCAAAAUGUUUUGUUUAAAUUUUCUGGUAAACUGGUUUAAAAAUGUUAAUAUUAAAAUAGUGGUGUUCCAUAGAACGUGUACUGGUAUGUUGGAACGGUAUACGUCCAAUUACGUGCCUCAUAACCUUGUUCUUGUAUCUGCACAACGACCAUUAUUUCAUGAUUAAGAAUCUGAAAGCGUGAAUAGGUACACCAUACGUGUACGACUACUGUCACAGUUUUACUAGACGUAGAGACCAUAGGUGUAAAUAUGUUUGUGAUGUUUGUAAUGCACCUGAUUGUCAUAAAUACGUUGUCAAAACGAGGCAAUGUCACGAUCGUUUGCGUUACUGCAGAUCUGCCUAUUGUUAUAAAGCACAUAAACAAACGCAAUUAGGACAAUAGUACGCCCAGUGUGAUGUCACUAAAUACUGUCAGAAAUGUAAUAGUAACUGCAGGAAUCUCUAAUUCUCAGUCAUGGGCUGGUGGCUCUUCAUGAUCCUAGUUAUAUUGCAGUGGAAUGCCAGGAGUCUUAUAGCUAAUGGACAAGAAUUCAAAAAGUUUGUGACUGAUCUGUUAGAUAAACCUCAGGUAAUAUGUGUGCAAGAGACGUGGUUAAAACCACAGUUAGACUUUGUGAUUUAUGGAUAUACUACAAUCAGAAACGAUAGGGAAACGGGUAAAGGUGGAGGGGUAGCAACUUUUGUAAGAAAUGAUGUGAAAUAUAACCUAGUCAAUAAAGGGAAAGAACAUGAAUCUGUGGUAGUCAGAAUACAGACAGGAAAAGACAGUAUAAUGAUAGUCAACUUUUAUAAUCCCUGUAAUAGACUGAGCACUGAUACACUGAAUGCAGUAUGUGGGGUGACACAAGGGAAAACAGUAUGGUGUGGGGAUUUUAAUGCACACAGCACGAUAUGGAGGAGUAAGAACACAGAUAUAAAUGGGUCAGUAAUAGAGGAAUUUAUAGAUGAUAAAAACCUGGUAUGUGUUAAUGACGGGAAGGGCACACAGUAUAGUAGUUCACAUAACACAGAAAGCGCUAUUGAUCUGACGAUAAUGUCAACUGAAAUGGCAGGAAUCAGCUUAUGGGAGGUUUUAGACCAGUCGACAGUAGGUAGUGAUCACUAUCCAAUAAUAACCAGGAUAGAAGUAGAGAUACACCAGGAUAGCGAAUUGAAAACACCAAGGUGGAGGUUAGAUAAAGCUGAUUGGCAGAUGUUCCAAAUGCUAAGUGAAAUAAAAUGUGUGGAAUUAGUGAAUAAGGAUAUUAGAGAUGUAGAAGAAAUGAACAGGAAAGUGACUAGGGCAAUUAUACAAACAGCUGAAGAAACAAUUCCUAAAAAGACAAGAAUUGAACAAAGAAAGAGCGUGCCAUGGUGGAAUGAGAGCUGUACUAUAGUAAUU